CUCCGAUAGCGAUGUUGACCAUCUCCAUACCCAUUAUCUCCACUCUUGUUUGAUUUUUCAGUAACCUGUAACCUUAUGUUGUGAUUUGAUAACAAGAUGUGAUUGUGUUGUACUUUAUUAAUUAAGACACCUGAUAAAUCAGAAGAAAUGCCAACUCUUAAAAGAAGCUUUUUCUUGCUUGUGUUUUUGUUGGCUUUAUGCUUUAGCCUUGGAUCGGAGAAGCCUCGGGCUCUACCCAAUGGUGCCUCCUUGACACGUGCACGAAGGGAGCUACCCCAUGGAGGACUGAGAAUGAUGGCCUACGCCAGACAACCGGGCCUGUAUGGAACCAGCAUCAGACACGUUCGCAGACGACACUGUCCUAAAUGGAUAAGACUUUUGGGAAGAAAUCGAUGUUGACCAGAUAAUGAACUGAUGCGUAGAAAUCUUAUUUAUCGUUACUUUAUCAUAUCUCACAAUUAACUGCUUAACUGCAUUCUGUACAUGUUUAAACAGAUAUUGGAAUACGCGUAUUGGAUAACUUCUAUGACAGUAUAUAUAUGCUAUGACAAAUCAGGUUUUUCUGAACCUGUCCUAAUUUUUACAUUAUGGACUUUCAAAAGGCAUGCUGUCAAAUAAAAUUGCGCAACAUUC